GCUCAGCCUUCCCUCAUCAGUGCUGUGAGGAGUAAAUGAGGAGACUUGUGCGAAGAGAUCCACACAGAGCUGAGCACGCGGUGAGCACCCAGCAACACCAACAUAGAGGGGAGAGCCUUCUCUCACACGCCUCGAGCUUCCACAGAAGAAGGAACUUCUGCUCUACUCACCGAGAUGGACAAGGAUAGGAGAAACACCCUCCCAGUUUCUUCCCCACAUACUACCCUCUCUCACAGAAGAAGCCAAGCAGAGGGGUGGGCCUACAACACACCCUGGGCCACGGCGCACCUGAAGGAGGGCCGCUGAUCCAGAAGACAGUGCCAGCUCUUUCUCUCGGACCCUCCCCGCCCCUGUGGCUGGGGUUGGAGCCUGGCUGGAGUGUACCCUACAGCUGCCUGUUUAAGGGCCUGCACACUCAGGGUCUUCUUUGCAAACCCAGCCCUGCACACAACCCUAACAGGAAGCCUAUGCCUCAGGCAUUCCUGGGCCCUGUCACCACUACUAGAGCGAGGCUUUGAUCUCCCGUAGCUGGCCACAGUGUUUACUCUCUACUGGAAAGAACAUGGAGGAGAAAAGGGGUGAAUGGCUCCCUUCAACCUCCCACAGUUAACAAUUUAAUGACAAAACAAGGGGUAAAACUAAACCUUGCUCAAACUCUAGCUUUCUCCUGAUAUCUCUGCUAUCCCACAAAAAAAUAUCUGAGGCGAAGGAGGACCAUCCUUUCCAAGCCAAAUAGAGAAAGAGAUGUCAAAUAAGAAAGCCUAAAGGAAGCUAAAGGGUGUUUCUGGAGCCUUGAGAAAUCUGGGCUGGAGAAGGGCUACACCGGUGGUCCCAGCCCACUCACCCAAAGGUGCCAGCUCACCUGAGCCCUGGCCAGGGGGCUGGGCAUUCUCCUCCGAGGUCUCUGUGUCAGACCAGUCCCAGUCAUCCUUGGGCCGGGGCACCAUCCUGGAAGGAACUUUUGGGGGCUGUAGAGACACACGCUGCACACGGUCUCCCUCUGAGUCCUCUUCAGAACUGAACGGGGGCGUGCUGCCACGAGGAGGAGAAGAAAUGAGGGAUGCAUGGGCCAGAAAGAAAACUUCAAAAGCCAAACUUCACCACGCUUCAAGCUGGUUUGGUUUGCUCAGGGCCAGCCCUGCUCCCUCCCUCAGGCCCAGAAGACAGCCAGGAGACCCCUGGAGUGCAGCAGCCACACCAGUAUCU
rnacentral:lncRNA from 10 species